rnacentral:lncRNA from 1 species
UGAAAACAUAGAAUGCCCCACGUCACGUUCUUUUGCUUCUCUAUGAACCUAUAGCUAGAAAUCUUCAUUAUUGAAAGUGAUUGAAAUAGAAUCCUUGGCCGAAUUAUUGCAGCAUUCUUUUGACAAAAAUAAAAACUGAAUAGGAAAGAUGGCAAAAAGGAAGGCUUUACUAAAGCACAACAUUUUUUAUACACAACAUAGUGGACUAAUUUAAUCUUAACUACUAGUGCUACUCCUUUGAGAGAGAGAGAGAAUGAAGUUCUUGUUCCAGGGUCCAUGUUGUUCUUGUUUCUGCUUCAUGAAGCCACAGAAAGGCAAACCAAAAGCUAAAGUGGAAGAAGCCAAACCUAAAGAUAAGAAGGUGGAAGAAGCUAAAGCUAAGGAUAAGAAGGUGGAAGAAGCCAAACCUAAAGAAAAGAAGGCGGAAGAAGCCAAACCAAAAGAGAAGGAAGAAAGCAAACCAGAAUAAUGAUAGUAGAGGCAAUGGCAAAUGCAGCUAUAUUAUUCUAGUACAAGUAUUGUUCUUCAUUUACUUUACUGCUUGUUUAUGGUGUUUUCCAAUUUCCAUCCAUAUGGUGUGCAAUCUUUAACACUUUCUUUGGAAAACGCUAGUACUAUUUCUCCUCCUAAUGUAUUUUUAUAAGAAAAUAAUUUCACUUUAUUUACUCUGAAAGGCAAAAGUAAUACUUCUGUUGCUCGAAUUCUUAAAAAAUUGUCACUUCUAAAAAAUGCAUAACUUUUGCAAGAUCCUACACAUGCGACAAAUUUUUUGAAGGAUAUACUAAGUUAGUAGCUAUUUCAGUUUUAAUUAGGAUAGAUAAUAUGAAGAUUGACUAGGG